CGCUGGCGGCGUGCCUAAUACAUGCAAGUCGAGCGGAAUGAUGAAGAAGCUUGCUUCUUCUGAUUUUAGCGGCGGACGGGUGAGUAACACGUGGGCAACUACCUUGUAGAUUGGGAUAACUCCGGGAAACCGGGGCUAAUACCGAAUAAUCCAUUUUGCUUCAUGGCGAGAUGUUGAAAGACGGUUUCGGCUGUCACUACAAGAUGGGCCCGCGGCGCAUUAGCUAGUUGGUAGGGUAAUGGCCUACCAAGGCGACGAUGCGUAGCCGACCUGAGAGGGUGAUCGGCCACACUGGGACUGAGACACGGCCCAGACUCCUACGGGAGGCAGCAGUAGGGAAUCUUCCACAAUGGACGAAAGUCUGAUGGAGCAACGCCGCGUGAGUGAAGAAGGUUUUCGGAUCGUAAAACUCUGUUGUAAGGGAAGAACACGUACGAGAGUAACUGCUCGUACCUUGACGGUACCUUAUUAGAAAGCCACGGCUAACUACGUG
rnacentral:rRNA from 1 species